UACGUAGGUGGCAAGCGUUGUCCGGAUUUACUGGGCGUAAAGAGCGCGCAGGCGGCUCGGUAAGUCUGCUGUGAAAUCUCCCGGCUUAACUGGGAGGGGUCAGCGGAUACUGUCGGGCUUGAGGCAGGUAGAGGAAGGUGGAAUUCCCGGUGUAGUGGUGAAAUGCGUAGAUAUCGGGAGGAACACCAGUGGCGAAGGCGGCCUUCUGGGCCUGUCCUGACGCUGAGGAGCGAAAGCGUGGGGAGCAAACAGG
rnacentral:rRNA from 1 species